GCGUGAAGCUGGAAUCGCUAGUAAUCGCGGAUCAGAAUGCCGCGGUGAAUACGUUCCCGGGUCUUGUACACACCGCCCGUCACACCAUGGGAGCCGGAAACGCCCGAAGCCAGUGGCCUGACCGCGAGGAGGGAGCUGUCGAAGGCGGGUCCGGUGACCGGGGUGAAGUCGUAACAAGGUACC
rnacentral:rRNA from 1 species